rnacentral:rRNA from 1 species
AGUGAACGCUGGCGGUAGGCCUAACACAUGCAAGUCGAACGGCAGCACCGUAAGAGCUUGCUCUUACGGGUGGCGAGUGGCGGACGGGUGAGGAAUACAUCGGAAUCUACUUUUUCGUGGGGGAUAACGUAGGGAAACUUACGCUAAUACCGCAUACGACCUACGUGUGAAAGCAGGGGAUCUUCGGACCUUGCGCGAUUGAAUGAGCCGAUGUCGGAUUAGCUAGUUGGCGGGGUAAAGGCCCACCAAGGCGACGAUCCGUAGCUGGUCUGAGAGGAUGAUCAGACACACUGGAACUGAGACACGGUCCAGACUCCUACGGGAGGCAGCAGUGGGGAAUAUUGGACAAUGGGCGCAAGCCUGAUCCAGCCAUACCGCGUGGGUGAAGAAGGCCUUCGGGUUGUAAAGCCAUUUUGUUGGGAAAGAAAAGCAGCAGGUUAAUACCCCGCUGUUAUGACGGUACCCAAAGAAUAAGCACCGGCUAACUUCGUG